rnacentral:rRNA from 1 species
GUUCCAGGUAAAUCCGGUUCACUUUAACACUGAGGCGUGAUGACGAGGCACCACGGUGCUGAAGCAACAAAUGCCCUGCUUCCAGGAAAAGCCUCUAAGCCUCAGGUAACAUCAAAUCGUACCCCAAACCGACACAGGUGGUCAGGUAGAGAAUACCAAGGCGCUUGAGAGAACUCGGGUGAAGGAACUAGGCAAAAUGGUGCCGUAACUUCGGGAGAAGGCACGCUGACACGUAGGUGAAGUGGUUUACCCAUGGAGCUGAAGUCAGUCGAAGAUACCAGCUGGCUGCAACUGUUUAUUAAAAACACAGCACUGUGCAAACACGAAAGUGGACGUAUACGGUGUGACGCCUGCCCGGUGCCGGAAGGUUAAUUGAUGGGGUCAGCGCAAGCGAAGCUCCUGAUCGAAGCCCCGGUAAACGGCGGCCGUAACUAUAACGGUCCUAAGGUAGCGAAAUUCCUUGUCGGGUAAGUUCCGACCUGCACGAAUGGCGUAAUGAUGGCCAGGCUGUCUCCACCCGGGACUCAGUGAAAUUGAACUCGCUGUGAAGAUGCAGUGUACCCGCGGCAAGACGGAAAGACCCCGUGAACCUUUACUAUAGCUUGACACUGAACACUGGUCCUUGAUGUGCAGGAUAGGUGGGAGGCUUUGAAGUGUGGACGCCAGUCUGCAUGGAGCCAUCCUUGAAAUACCACCCUUUAAUGGCUGGUGUUCUAACGUGGGCCCGUGAACCGGGUUGCGGACAGUGUCUGGUGGGUAGUUUGACUGGGGCGGUCUCCUCCUAAAGAGUAACGGAGGAGCACGAAGGUUGGCUAAUCCUGGUCGGACAUCAGGAGGUUAGUGCAAUGGCAUAAGCCAGCUUGACUGCGAGCGUGACGGCGCGAGCAGGUGCGAAAGCAGGUCAUAGUGAUCCGGUGGUUCUGAAUGGAAGGGCCAUCGCUCAACGGAUAAAAGGUACUCCGGGGAUAACAGGCUGAUACCGCCCAAGAGUUCAUAUCGACGGCGGUGUUUGGCACCUCGAUGUCGGCUCAUCACAUCCUGGGGCUGAAGUAGGUCCCAAGGGUAUGGCUGUUCGCCAUUUAAAGUGGUACGCGAGCUGGGUUUAGAACGUCGUGAGACAGUUCGGUCCCUAUCUGCCGUGGGCGCUGGAAGAUUGAGGGGGGCUGCUCCUAGUACGAGAGGACCGGAGUGGACGCAUCACUGGUGUUCGGGUUGUCAUGCCAAUGGCACUGCCCGGUAGCUACAUGCGGAAGAGAUAAGUGCUGAAAGCAUCUAAGCACGAAACUUGCCCCGAGAUGAAUCUUCCCUGAGCCUUUAAGGCUCCUGAAGGAACGUUGAAGACGACGACGUUGAUAGGCCGGGUGUGUAAGCGCAGCGAUGCGUUGAGCUAACCGGUACUAAUGAACCGUGAGGCUUAACCUUACAAC